CGGGUGGUAAUGCUGGAUGCUCCAACUUGACGCAUGUCUUGUUGGGAAAGUGUUUAGUGGCAUGGGAUGGGGUCGCGUCCUAUCAGCUUGUAGGCGGGGUAAUGGCCCACCUAGGCUUCGACGGGUAGCCGGCCUGAGAGGGCGGACGGCCACAUUGGGACUGAGAUACGGCCCAGACUCCUACGGGAGGCAGCAGUGGGGAAUAUUGCGCAAUGGGGGAAACCCUGACGCAGCGACGCCGCGUGCGGGAUGAAGGCCUUCGGGUUGUAAACCGCUUUUGAUUGGGAGCAAGCCUUUUGGGUGAGUGUACCUUUCGAAUAAGCGCCGGCUAACUACGUGCCAGCAGCCGCGGUAAUACGUAGGGCGCAAGCGUUAUCCGGAAUUAUUGGGCGUAAAGAGCUUGUAGGCGGUUCGUCGCGUCUGGUGUGAAAGCCCAUCGCUUAACGGUGGGUUUGCGCCGGGUACGGGCGGGCUAGAGUGCAGUAGGGGAGACUGGAAUUCUCGGUGUAACGGUGGAAUGUGUAGAUAUCGGGAAGAACACCAAUGGCGAAGGCAGGUCUCUGGGCUGUUACUGACGCUGAGAAGCGAAAGCGUGGGGAGCGAACAGGAUUAGAUACCCUGGUAGUCCACGCCGUAAACGGUGGACGCUGGAUGUGGGGCCCAUUCCACGGGUUCUGUGUCGGAGCUAACGCGUUAAGCGUCCCGCCUGGGGAGUACGGCCGCAAGGCUAAAACUCAAAGAAAUUGACGGGGGCCCGCACAAGCGGCGGAGCAUGCGGAUUAAUUCGAUGCAACGCGAAGAACCUUACCUGGGCUUGACAUGUGCCUGACGACUGCAGAGAUGUGGUUUCCUUUCGGGGCAGGUUCACAGGUGGUGCAUGGUCGUCGUCAGCUCGUGUCGUGAGAUGUUGGGUUAAGUCCCGCAACGAGCGCAACCCUCGCCCUGUGUUGCCAGCGGGUUAUGCCGGGAACUCACGGGGGACCGCCGGGGUUAACUCGGAGGAAGGUGGGGAUGACGUCAGAUCAUCAUGCCCCUUACGUCCAGGGCUUCACGCAUGCUACAAUGGCCAGUACAACGGGUUGCUUCAUGGUGACAUGGUGCUAAUCCCUUAAAACUGGUCUCAGUUCGGAUCGUAGUCUGCAACUCGACUACGUGAAGGCGGAGUCGCUAGUAAUCGCGAAUCAGCA
rnacentral:rRNA from 1 species